rnacentral:rRNA from 1 species
GAUGAACGCUAGCGGGAGGCCUAACACAUGCAAGCCGAGCGGUAGAGUCCCUUCGGGGGCUUGAGAGCGGCGUACGGGUGCGGAACACGUGUGCAACCUACCUUUAUCUGGGGGAUAGCCUUUCGAAAGGAAGAUUAAUACCCCAUAAUAUAUAGAUUGGCAUCAAUCGAUAUUGAAAACUCCGGUGGAUAGAGAUGGGCACGCGCAAGAUUAGCUAGUUGGUGAGGUAACGGCUCACCAAGGCAAUGAUCUUUAGGGGGCCUGAGAGGGUGAUCCCCCACACUGGUACUGAGACACGGACCAGACUCCUACGGGAGGCAGCAGUGAGGAAUAUUGGACAAUGGGUGCAAGCCUGAUCCAGCCAUCCCGCGUGAAGGACGACGGCCCUAUGGGUUGUAAACUUCUUUUGUACAGGGAUAAACCUACCCUCGUGAGGGUAGCUGAAGGUACUGUACGAAUAAGCACCGGCUAACUCCGUGCCAGCCGCCGCAGUAA